GUGUCGGGAGUAGGAAGGGAUUGAGGCUGCGUUCCUGCAGCUAACCCCCAGCAGCUCAGCUCUGUGUUGUCACCGGGAAACAAGCGACCAUCCAGGCUGAGGCAGCCCAGAUCUGUUCUGCUUCCUGUCUGAAAUAAAAGGGAAAGGACCAGCUGUGGUUCCCCCUCUUUCCUCGGUUUCUUUUUCCACUGUGGAUGGACUGUCAUCCUCUGCUUAGACAAACAGACAGAUAGACAGACAGAGGCUCACAACAAGCUCACUAUGUGAAGGGCAUAAGGAGGGAGGUGGCGAGCAUGUGACUGGAGAAUGGCUCACUAUAAGGAUGUAACUGUCAAAAAGAGCUCUUCUCUUAACUUGGUGACGGGAUUCUUUCAGUAUCUCCGUGAUGAGCAAGAAGCAGUACAGAAGAGGACUUUUACUAAAUGGAUCAAUUCCCACUUGACAAAGCGUAAACCACCUCUAGAGGUCACCGACCUUUUCGAGGACAUCAAAGAUGGGGUGAAACUGUUAGCUCUAUUGGAGGUGCUGUCUGGACAGAGACUGCCGUGUGAGCAGGGCCGCCAGUUGAAGAGGAUCCACUGGGUAUCCAACAUCGGCACCGCCCUCAGGUUCCUAGAAGGCAGGAAGUCUGUGUACCGAGGAUCCCCGAUCAAGCUAGUCAACAUCCAUGCCACUGAUAUAGCAGACGGUCGACCAUCCAUUGUCCUGGGGUUGAUUUGGACUGUCAUCCUCUACUUCCAGAUCGAGGAGUUGACCAGUAACCUGCUAGCCCUGGAGGCCCUGUCCAGCAGCACCUCCUCAGUGGACAGCAUGGCCAGUAGCUCAGAGACAGGCAGUCCCGCCUUAAAGAGGGAGGUGGCACCCAAGAAGUUCCAGGGCAAUGCCAAGAAGGCCCUCCUCAGAUGGGUACAGAGCACUGCUGCCAAUGGUCAGGGCAUCGAGGUAAAGGACUUUGGUGCCAGUUGGCGUAGCGGUGUGGCGUUCCACUCUGUGGUCCAUGCCAUCCGCCCAGACCUGGUGGACAUGGAGGUGGUGAGGAGGAGGAGCAACCGGGAGAAUCUGGAGGAAGCCUUCUCAUUGGCCGAGAAUGAGCUGGGCAUACCACGCCUGCUGGACCCAGAAGACGUGGAUGUAGAUAAACCGGAUGAGAAGUCCAUCAUGACAUAUGUUGCUCAGUUCCUCAAGCACUAUCCCAACCCCCACCACUCUGAGACAGAUGGACAGGGAGAAGAGAGAGAAGAACGGAAGGUUCUGAGGGAGCUGAAGGUGUGGCUGGAACAGUUGGAGAGAGACGUGCUGCAAGUGCAGGGGGCAGAGGGCAACAUCACCGACAAGUACCAGGGCUUCAAGAGUUUCCGUGUGCAGUAUGAGAUAAAGAUGAAGCAGACAGAGCCGCUGCUGCAGCCGGUACACAAAGAUGGAAAGUUGUCUGUAGACCAGGCCCUGGUCAAGCAGGCGUGGGAACACAUCUCUAGCACGCUCCUGGACUGGCACAUCCAUCUGGAUAAGUCGUUGCCUGGCCCCCUGGGGGUGAUCGGAGCCUUGCUGCAUCGAGCUGAGAUCGCCCAGAGAGAGGAGAUUCCCAUCCAACAAGCCCAUGAAGAGACAGCCAAUGUGAUCCAGAGGAAGCUGGAACAGCACAAGGAGAUCCUGAAGAACUUGGAGUCCCACAAACAGACGUUCCAGCAGAUCCACCGAGAAAGAUCAGUAAACGGGGUCCCUGUCCCCCCCGAACAUCUCCAAGACAUGGCUGAAAGAUUCAAUUACGUGUCCACAUCAUCUUAUGCCCACCUGAUCAAACUGGAAUUCUGGGAGAUUAAGUACCGUCUGAUGGCGUUUCUCAUCCUGGCUGAGUCUAAGCUCAAGUCCUGGAUCAUCAAAUAUGGCCGCCGUGACUCUGUGGAACUACUGCUACAGAGCUACAUUACCUUCAUCGAGGGACACAUGUUCUUCGAACAGUAUGAGACAACAUUUAAGGCACUCAGGCAAUCUGCAGAUGUCUACGUCAAGUCUGAUGGUUCAUCUGAGGAAGCGGAGGGUGUGGGUAAGUUCCUGUCGGAUGCGUCGGCCCAGUGGAGGAACCUGUCGGUGGAGGUGCGUAGCGUCCGUAGCAUGCUGGAGGAGGUCAUCUCUAACUGGGAGAAGUACAGCAGUACGGUGGCCGGACUGCAGGCCUGGCUGGAGGACGCAGAGCAGAUGCUCAACCAGUCAGAGAAUGACAAACGGGACUUCUUCCGGAACCUUCCUCACUGGAUCCAGCAGCACCUGGACAUGAACGAUGCAGGGAACUUCCUGAUUGAGACGUGCGAUGAGACCGUCUCCAGAGACCUGAAGCAGCAGCUGCUCAUUCUCAACGGGAGGUGGAGGGAGCUGUUUGUUAAAGUCAAACAUUAUGCUAGAGUGGACGAGGUGGACAAGUGGAAGCAGGACUAUCAGGACUGUAUCGCUACUCUCAAAACUUUUAUGGAUGCAACCAAUGACAAGAUGACUGCCCCUGUCCAAGUGUCCUUCCUGAACGUCAGGACAUUCGUUCAAGAUGUUGAGGACAUCAAGAACAAGGUCCCGGCCAUGGAGGCAGCCUGUAAGACAGCCAGCCGCACCGCCCAGCUGCUGAUCAAAGACACGCCUGCGGAGGAGGUCUCUACCAUGCUGGCUGCCAUGGCUUCUAUCAAGGAGGAGAUGAGCAAGAUAAAGGAGCGGUCUCUGCCGCUGCUACGGGAUGCCCAGUCCCUGCUGCCUGCUCUGGAGGAGAUGGAGAAGAACAUCACAGGGUUCUACCAGGCCCUGGAGAAGGCCAGCCGCAUCACUUGCUCCAGGGACUCGGAGGCCCACGGGGACUUCAAACAGAAAUGCCAGGAGCUGGUGACCUUCACCCAGAGCUGUAAGAAGUGUCUGACUGUGAUAGAGAAUAACCAUCAGAGUGUCCAGAGAACCCUGGACAGCAGUAAGACCCUACAGCACCUGGACAUGGCCCUGCUGCAGAAGAGAGUCGCCGACCUCCAGGCCUCCUCACAGGCAAUGAUCAAUGAGUCUACUGAGUGGAAGAAUCACGUGGAGGUCAACAGCAGCUUAAUGAAGAGGUUUGAUGAGUCCCGUGGCGAGCUGGAGAAGGUGCUGAAAGUCGCUCAGGCUUUUUUAAAUGAGAGAGGCAACCCAGAAGAUCUGCUAAAAAGACACACGGAGUUCUUUGGGCAGCUGGAGCAGCAGGUCCUCGAUGCGUUCCUGAAGACCUGUGAUGAACUGACAGACACAGUGCCUAGGGAGGAGCAGCAGAGUCUGCAGGAGACAGUCAGGAAACUGCACAAACACUGGAAGGAUGUCCAGACAGAGGCUCCCUACCACCUGCUUCAUCUGAAGGUAGAGGUGGAACGGAGCAAGCUAAUGGUCUCCAUGCAGGAGUGUCAGUCAGAGCUGACCAGAGAGAACAGACACCUGGUUGGCAUGGGGAGUGAGAGGCUGAUCAAGGAACACAGGGACUUCUUCAGGGAGAAGGGUCCUCAGUCUCUGUGUGAGAAAAAACUACAACUGAUAGAGGAACUGUGUCAGAAGCUUCCAGACAGCAACCCAGCCCACCAGACCCUGGACAGCUCUAAGAAGGCCUACUCUGAGCUCUGGGAGGAGAUAGAUAGCACCCAUCACAAUCUGAUGCAGCACCCUGAUAAGUGGGAGGAGUUUAACAACAGGUUCUCCGAGUUGUCAGCCUGGCUUUCGUCUAAAGAGAGCCAACUCAGACUGCUCAGGGACAGAGCCAACGACCCCAGCAAGCACGGACAGGUCAAGGCCACCAUCACAGAGCUGAGGAACGAUGCAGAGCUGCAGGAGGGGAACCUGGGCUGGCUGAAGUCCCGGCUGGCUGUGCUGAUAGAGAUCUGCUCCGAGACGGAUGCACAGAGUCAGGCUGGGGCAAUCAAUAAACUUUCCACCAACUUCAAGGGCCUCCUCUCCUAUCUCACUGAGUCUGAGAAGGUGGUGCUGGCGGUGGGGGACUGUGUGCAGUUCAGGGAGGGGGUGCGUGGUGCACUGGAUGAGCUGGUGCAGGGUCAGCAGGAGGUACACCUGGAGGUGACCAGGAUACUGGACUCUGAGACCGUCAGGGAGGCCCAGCAAUUGCUCCAGAUUCACCAGCAACAACUGAAGCGUCUGCGUAUGAAGAGGAAGGAUGUGCGGCAGCAGAUUGCUAGGGGCCGUCAGCUACAGGCUGAGGAGGGGCUGGGGGAGACCUUACAGCUGGACCUGCAGAGUCUGGAGACAACACUCAGCAAGAUGGACCACACCAUGGACUCACAGGAGCAGGAGUUAGAGGUGACUCUGUCUUCGUGGCAGGAGUUUGACAGCCAGCAGAGGACAGUGCAGGAGUUUGUUACCAGGGCGCUCUCUGUCAUGGACAGAGACCUGAACUUUAGCAGCCCAGAAAGCCUGGCUACUGAACUGGACCAGGCCAGGGUGCUUUUAAAGCAGAGUGAAGCAGAAGCCUGCAUGGUGAACACCCUGUUGAGGAAAGCAGCAGAGAUCCAGCUUGGCCCAAAGAACACCACCUUGCUACUGGAGCAAGCCCGCUCCCUCAGCGAACAGCUGGACAAAGUGGAGGCUGGCCUCAAGGAAGACACCAAGGCUCUUGAUGGGAUGAAGAAUCAGUGGGCCCGGUUUGGGACAGAGUUUGAGGCCUUCUCCUCAUGGAUCUCUGACAAAGAGAAAGAAAUGGACGCUCUAAAGAGUUCUGCUGCUCCACUUGGACAACAGAUCAACACAGUAAAGGCCGUGGGUGUGGAGCUGGGGGACAAGGCAGAGGUGUUAUCCCAGCUAGAGGCCCACUCCCAGGCCCUGGCCCAGUUCAUCUCCUCUGGGGAGGCAGCCCGUAUCAAGGCUCGGCUCACCCAGAUCGGCAGAUACUGGGAGGAGCUCAGGGAGAGUGUGGAGCAGCUAGAAGGACUGCUGCAGGAGAGCUCCUCCACACAGCACCGCUUCAACACCAGCCUGGAAGAGGCCAAAACAACACUUGGUGAUCUCCAUAAGAAACUGGACCAUCCUGUCACUUCCUGUACCUCCUCGUCAGAGACCUACAAAUGUCUCCAGAACCACAUGGAUGUGUCCCAGAGCUUGGAGAGCCUGAAGGCAGCCUUGUUGCCCCUGUCUGCUGGGGCACGUAGACUCAGAGACAGGGAGCAGGCUGAGAGGGCCGUGGCAGCUCUACAGACCAGCUAUGACCAGAGUCUAGGGCAGGCCAAAGAAAAACAGAACACACUGGAGAAAGUGCUGUCUCUAUGGCAAAAGUAUGAGAAGGAUCGUUCUAGCUUUGUAUCCUGCUUGGAGAGAUGUGAGUCUACAUCCAAACCUGAGAGCCAUUGCCUGCCUGCAGAUAAAACCAAGCUGGAGAGUGAGCUGCAGGACCUGCAGAACUUGCAGUCUGAGGUGGUGUCGCUGGAGCCCCUCCAUGCUGGCCUGGUGGCCUCAGGGACAUCCCUGUACCCCACCGCCCCAGAGGAGAAGGCAAGGCAGCUCAGUGAUGACCUGGAGCAGCUGAAGAAGAGAUGGAACUCCCAGAAUGAACUCAUCCCUCACAGAAUCAAGGAGCUCCAGAGCCAGCUGUUCCAGGUGGAGCAGUUUGACCAGUCCUUGUUGAAGUUCUCUCAGUGGUCUGAGAAUCUCUUCUCCACCCUCCACUCAACCUCCCUGGUCAACAUCACUGACCUGCAGCCUGCUGUGGCCCAAGUCAAGGAAACACUAGCGGCUCUUCAGAAGCAGAGUGGUGUGAGGGAGAGCUUGGAGCUCCAGGCAGAGGGGCUGUGUGCCUCGUGUGAACCCCAGGAUGCUCAGCUCCUCCAGGGGAGACAGGUCAACAGCCUACAGCCCUACCUGGAGGUCCAGCAGCUGGCUGAGCUCCGGCUGGACUGCCUGGGGAAGCUGGAGGCCUUCUUGGAGACCCACGGUGCGGCUGUGGGGGUACUACGAGGCUUGAGGAAUACGGUGGAGAGUUCAGGGAGCUGGGACCAUGGUCGGGUGGAGGAACUACAGAGAGAACUGGAGGCCAUCGUCCCAGACAUCAGCAGUCUGGAGAUCCUGGCAGCCGGCCUGGACAGCAGCCUCUGUAAAGGCCACCUCCACAUGGUGAGCGGUGUGGAUGGGUCUGGGUCCCGGACGUCGUGCCGGGUGCUUGCUGAUGGUCUCAGCGGCGAGCUGGACACAGUGAGGAAUCUGCUUGGGACCAAGCAGAGCGAGGCAGAGGCCCUGGGAGCGCUAUGGAGCUCCUUCAGACAGAGGAAGGAACAGCUGUUGAAAAACGUGGAGGACAUCAAGGAGAAGGCGGACCACCAGAGCCUGCGAGAACCCAGCCCACUCGCCCUGCAGCAGAGGCUGCGGUUCUUUAACCAGCUGGAGGAUGAGCUCCAGUCUCAAGAACACGAGGAGCAGUGGCUCAGGGACAAGGGUCAGCAACUAGCCCAGAGAGAUGCAGAGCUGGCCGGGGAGGUUCUCAGGGAGAUCAGCCUCUUGGAAACCACCUGGGAGGAUACCAAGAGACUCAUAACUGACAGGCAGGAGCAAUGCAGUGUUCUGGUGGAGCUGAUGAGAGAAUACCAUAACCUGAGGACAUCCAUAGCCGCCACCAUGGAGAACACUGAGGCUGACAUCGGCUCGGCUCUGAAAGACCACGAGGAGACAAAAAAAUCGCUGGCUAAGCAUGAAUCAGUGAAGGCAGAGAUGUUGGCCAAGCAGCGUGAGCUGGACCAGUUCUCCAGUAAAGGAAAACUUCUGCUGUGUGAUCUGAAGAAGAUCCCAGACUGUGAGGCUCAGCUGAUGACGACAGACAUGCAGACUCUAGUAGACCAGUGGCUCGAGGUGUCUGAGAGGAUUGAAAACAACAUUGAGCAUCUGAGCCAGAGCCUGGCGUUGUCGGAUGACGUGCAGCAGAUCAGUGAGGAGAUCGAGGGCUGGACCAACAGCUCAAUGAUGGAACUCAGUGAAAGCCUGAAUAACCUGAUUGGUAGUCAGAGAAUGGAGACCAGACUCUCUGCGUUACAGUUGGAGAUGGGGAAGAAAGAGCACCAGCUUGUGACCCUGCAAGGGAAAGUGUCAGAACUGAAGCAACUCAACUGUAGCCAGGACACUCCCGCCAAACUACAGGUGCUGGAGGCGGACCUGAGGAAAAAGCUGAGCCAGGUGCAGAAGCUAUAUGAGCAGGCCAAGGGAAACCUCAGGGACUUCAGCUCCCAGAGGAAGCAGUUAGAGGACUACAUUACCCAAAUGUCUGAUUGGCUGAAGAGCAUAGAGCAGUCCCUGAUGAGCUCACCGAUUGGCUCUGACCUAGAGGACAUCUGCAGAGUCAAGGAGCUCCAGAAGGACCUUCAGAACCAGCAAGGCAGCAUAGAUUCCACCAGGGAGAGCCUAAACACUCUGUGUCGGAAGUACCCUUCUGAGGAGCUGGCUGGGCUGGGUAGUGCACUCACUGACCUUAUCAAGGGCUAUGAGUCUGUCAACCAGCUUUCCUCUAGGACCCUGGCCUCACUCCAACACGGCCUGCAAAAACACUUCAACGAACUGGUUCGGGAGUUCCAUAGCUGGCUGUCUGGGCAGAGGGAGGUCGUGAAGGAGUGCUCUGACCAAUCAGGAGACACUAGCAUCGUGGAGCGUAAACUCCAGAAGCUAAAGGGGGCGCUGGAGCGUGUGGAGGACGGGGAGGUACGUCUGACUCAGGUGUGUGAGGAAGGGGAGAAGCUCCUGCUCCACCUCCCUAAGGCCAGUGCUGACCAGGUGCAGCAGCACAUCUCCUCCAUCCAGCACGACUGGGACUGCUAUGUUGAGCAGUGUAGACUCAACCAGCAGGCCCUGGAGGACAGCACUGCACAACUCAAUGGGUUUGAGGGGCGUCUGAAGAGGCUGAGGCAGUGGCUGGAACACAUGGAGCAGAGGGUGACCUCAGAGCUGCCUGAGGAGAAACACAGGGGUCUUGAGAAGGCAACACUGGAGGGGGUGGAGGAAUACCACCAGGAAGUGCUCAAAGAGAGGGACUCUUUCGAGCGACUGUGUCAGGAGUCACAGGUCUUGAAUGAAGGUGGACGGGGCGACGGUGGCGAGACGCGGGCGGCUGUAGGGCUGCAGUCUCAGCACCAGGCUCUGCUGCGGAGGGUGAGGGAGAGGCUGAGGUGCUGCCAGGUAAACCUACAGGAACAGGAAGCAUUUAAGGAGACCCUGCAGAGCACCUGGUCCUGGCUAAACGGGAUGAAGGAACGACUGGGGACCCUCAAUAGUACGCUGGGGAACAAGGUGACGCUAGAGAAGAGACUGGGACUGGUACAGGACAUCCUGCUGAUGAAAGGCGAGGGCGAGGUGAAGCUGAACAUGGCGGUAGGGAAGGGCGAGCAGGUUCUGAAGCACCACAGUGUGGAGGGACAGGAGGCCAUCUCCUCCCAGUUACAGAACCUGAAGGACGCCUGGGCCAGCAUGCUCAUGACCUCCAUGAGUUGUCACAGUCGUCUGGAAUGGACGGUAGCCCAGUGGAGUAACCACCAGGAUAGUAAGGGGCAGCUGCAGCAGUGGAUGGAGUCUGUGGAGCAGGAGGUGGGUCUGGCCCUGGACCAGCAGCCAGGCCUGAAGGAGAAGGCCUAUCUCCUGGAGCGUCUCAGAGCCCUCCAGGCUGACGUGGAGGCCCACGCAGCACCACUGGCCAGGCUGACAGAGACGGCUGCAGAGCUGCAUGAGAAGACAGGUGACCAGGCCUUUGGACCAGAGCAGAGAAUGGAACUCAAUGCACACUUCGCUGACAUUACCGCUGUCGUCAAGGGUAAGGUUCAGGCCAUGGAGAACAGAGUGACAGAGCAUGAGCACUACCUGGAAGCUGUGAGGGACUUCAAUGAUUGGCUGGCUUCUGCCAAGGAGGAGCUCCAGCGCUGGUCUGACCUGUCAGGAGACUCCACCUCUGUAAACAGGAAACUUGCCAAAGUCCAGGAGCUGAUAGACUCCAGGCAGCGUGGCCGAGAGCGUCUGAGCCGGGUGCAGCAUUGUGGGGCUGCAACGAGGGACCACACUGGCUCUGCGGGCUUCGAGGCAGUGGAGAGGGAGGAGGCAGCCCUGCUGUCUGCCUGGGAGCAGUGGGAACGCGGGGCACUGCAGAACAGGGCAGGCCUGGAGACUGCUCUCUCCCAACUCGCCAGCUCCGAACAGGAGUUUAACUGCUUGGCUGCUCAGCUGGAGGUGGACCUGCAGGAGUUUAGCAGUCAGCUACAGGAGUGGAGACACAGGCUCUCUCAUGCAGAGGGGAAAAACAGUAGGGAGGAGGCUGUGCAGGGCUGGCAGAUUGCAAAGGACACUCUGGAAGGUCUAGUCAAAAUGGAGCCCAUGUCAGACAGUCUGAAGUUCCAGCUCAACGGUCUGUGUCGGUUCUCCAAGGACCUGGGUACUCAGUCAGAGAGAGUGUCCUCCCAUAUCAAGGAGUACAACAGGCUGAGCCUGCAGGCCUCCAGAGAAUGCCAAAACAAAGAGAAGCUUCUGGAGCAGCAGUUCCGUGCCGCUUUCCGAGAGUUCCAGCAGUGGCUGGUCAAUGCCAAAAUCAACACAGCCAAGUGCUUUGAUGUGCCUCAGAACCUCAGUGAGGCCUCCUCCAGCCUGCAGAAGAUACAGGAGUUCCUGAGUGACAGGGAGCAGGGCCACUCCAAACUAAAUGCUGUGGUGCUUAGUGGUGAGCUGGUGGUCAGUAUCGCUGCCAAGGACAGAGUAGAUGCUGUCCGGGCCAAAAUGAGCAGUGCCAGAGAAGACUGGAAGACUCUGAUGUCCAACUUGCACCAGAGGGAGACUGCCCUACAGAACCUCCAGUCUCAGAUGAAGGACUUUGAGGCGAGUGUGGAGCCUCUUCAGGAGUGGCUGAACGGGACAGAGGUUGCUGUACAGGAGAGCAGCACACGACUCCAUGACCUCACUGCCAAAAAGCAGGAGUUGCACAAGCUGCAGUCUGUGCUCGAGGAGUUGGCCUCUCAAGAGGUUCAGCUGAUAAGGCUCAGAGAGAAGGCCCAGCUACUGUGGGAUGGACAUGCGGCCAGAAAGAGCUUUGUCCACCAUGUCUCGCAGCUCUCCGCUCAGUACUUAGCUCUAACCAACCUGACCAAGGAGAAGGCUUCCCGUAUCGACCGUAUCGUCAAUGAGCACCAGCUGUUCUCCCAGGGGCUGAAAGAGCUGCAGAACUGGGUGGCCGACACCAGCCACAUGCUGCAGACCUACCGCACUCCCACAGCAGACAAAAAUGUCCUGGACAGCAGGAUGAUCAAGCUGGAGGCGUUGCUGACAGCACGUCAGGAGAAGGAGAUCCAGCUGAAGAUGCUGGUCACAAGGGGAGAGUCUGUCCAGAGGAAUACAUCAGUAGAGGGUGUACCAGUAGUCUGCAAGAACAUCCAGGACCUCAAAGACUCCUGGGAUACCCUGCUUUCCGCCUCCAUCCAAUGCAAAAGCCAGUUGGAGGGAGCCCUCUCCCAGUGGACCAGCUACCAGGAGGACGUGUGUCAGUUUGUGGGCUGGGUGGAGCGUGUUGAGGAGAGCCUGGACCCAAGAGACAAACAAUGCUCCGAGAUGAGAGACAAAACUGCCAACCUGGGCAAAGCCAAGCUUCUCUAUGAGGAGGUUCUUAGCCACAGCAGUCUACUGGACACCAUCACCGUGAAGGGAGCCAACAUGGCGGAACACUACGUCACCCAGCUAGAGCUCCAAGACCUGCAGGAACGAUACCACACCGUCAAGGACAACACCAAGACUGCGGUGGGGAAGGCAGAAGAGCUGGUGCAGGUCCACCAGGAGUACGAGAGAGGCCUAAAUGUGUUUGAGGCGUGGCUGGAGCAGGAGCAGGAGAAACUGGGCUGCUACACACAGCUAGAGGGGGAUGUGGACACUCUGGAGGAGACGCUUCAGAAACUACAGGAGCUGCAGGUCCAGUGCACGGAGGGCCAGGCCCUACUCAACACCCUGCUGGACAGUAGAGACCAGGUUGUGCCCUGGGGUGUCCCCCAAAUCGAGGACCGGGUCCUGGAGACCUUGCAGCAGAACUGGAAUCUGUACCAGGGUAAGCUGGGAGACACUAGGACCCAGCUCAACAGUACCCUGGCCAAGCUCCGCCAGAUGGAGCAAAAGUUUCAGGGUCUGGACAGCUGGCUGAAUAGCAUGGAGAGCAAAGGUCAACUGAGGAGUCAUCGCCGGUCGGACCGUGCCACCAAGGACGCUCAACUCCAACUGAUAAAGAGUUGGCAGGAGGAGGUGCUAGUGUACCAGGAGGAGGUGGAGGGUCUGAGUGUUCUAGCCCAGCAGGUCAUAGAUGAGACCCACAUCAGCAGCCGGGUCAGCACCAGAGCUACCCAACUCACCUCCCGCUACCACGCCCUGCUACUGCACCUACUGGAGAGCAUCAAGCAACUACAGGUGGAGGUGUGUUGCAUCGAGGAGGCCCAGAAUGUGUUCAGGACCUUCUCUGAUUGGCUGAGCUCGGCCAAGAACAACUUCAGCACCAUGGCCAUCAGCAUCAGUGUAGUAGACCGUCUUACCAUGGAGAGGAAGAUGAAGACACUGGAGGCUCUUCAGGGUGACAUGGAGCAGGGCCACAGCUUCCUGAAGACGAUGCGUGAGAAGACAGAGCGGGCCGUGGCCUUCCUGGAGGAACCAGAAGCUGAGCAGCUGAGGGAGGAGGUGGAUGCUCAUAGAUCCCAGCUAGAGGGCCUGAUGGCUGGGCUACGCACGGAGCACAGCUCCCUGGAGAAAUGCAUCUCCCUCUCCAAAGACUUCCUGGACAAGUACAAGGCCCAGGCACAGUGGCUCGCUGAGACCAAGGCUUUGUUAAGCUCACCCAUCGAGCUCAAAGCUGAGCUCUACCAGAAGAAGGCCCAGUUAGCCAAAUAUAAGACAAUCCAGCAGACAGUGCAGUCCCACGAGUCAGCGGUGAGGUCAGUGGUUGAGAAAGGAGAGGUUCUGCUGGAUAUGGUCUGUGACCCCACCAUCAGAGACAACAUGAACAGGUUGCAGACUGACUACCAGGAACUCUGCACUGCAGCCGAGAGCCAAGUCCAGAGUCUGGUGGAGUGGGUGAAGGAGCAUGAGUGCUACAACAGUGAGCUCCAGGAGGUGGAGAAGGGGCUCCUACAGAUGUCCAGUAGGCUGGUCACCUCAGACUCCAUGCAGACAUGUAGUAUGGAGACGGCCACACAACAACUGGCCCGCCACAAGGCAAUUAUGGAGGAAAUAGCUAGUUUUGAGGAGCGCCUGACCAGUCUGAAGGAGAAAGGAGAUGACUUGGUGUCCAGCUGUACAACAGACCAGAUGCAGGCUAAGACCAGCCAGCAGGUCAAGGCUCACCAUCAGGGCACCAGAGACAGCUACUCAGCCAUCUGCAGCAGCGCACAGUGUGUUUACCAGAGUCUGGACAGAGAACUGCAGAAGCAUGUCAGUCACCAGGACACUCUGCAGCAGUGCCAGACCUGGCUCUCCACCGUCAAUGAGGAGCUACUGCUGCACUGUCAACCUCCCUUUGGCAUGCAGGAGGCCCUCAAACAGGUGAAGCACUACAGGGCUCUACAGGAGCAGGCCAGUACGUACCUGGACCUGGUGUCUUCUGUGUGUGACUUGUCUGAUGAUGCUGUGAGAGCCACCACUGCGGAAGUCCAGCAGGUCAAACACACGAUGGAGGAGAGGAUGUUGAGCUCCCAGGAGCUAUGUGAGGGCUGGAGAGAGAUAAAGGAGCAGAAGCAGGAGCUAUCUGAUCAGUUCCAGGACAUGGAGCAGCAGCUUCUCAGCCUCUCCAGAAGACCAGCGGAGCUCGAGACCAAGAUCGCCCUCAACAUGCUCACCCAGGCCAAGGAGUUUAGCCAACAGCUGCAGAAUAAACAAGCCACCCUAUCCAGGAUGACAGAGAGUGUGAGUCGUCUGACUGCGGGCCAGGAUAGCCCGGAACAUGGAGAGAUAGGGCGUCUGAGCCAUGCCUGGCUGGGGCUGUUUCACCAAGCUAACAGGCUGAAGGGCCAGAGACAGGAGGACCUGCAGAGGAUCCAGGAGUACCACAACUGCAUCACAGCCAUGGAAGCACUUUUUGAGCAAAUGUCUAAGGAGUGGGAUAACCUGGCCAGGACUGAUGCUGAAAGUUCAUCUGAGCACUUGGAGGCGCUGAAGAAACUCGCCGUAGCUCUCGGAGACCAGAAGGGAACUCUGGAGGACCUGAAGGACCAGAGGCAGAAAGUCACACACCACCUGAACCUGGAUGACAAGGAGCUGGUGAAGGAACAGAUCAGCCAUUUUGAGCAGCGCUGGGUUCAGCUGCAGAGCCUCAUCAACAGGAAGAUACAGGACUCGGUGCUGACCCUGGAGGACAUGGCCAAGGUGGAGGCCCGUCUAAGGGAGGCCAGGGAGUGGGCCGAAGAGCAGCAGCCAGGCCUUUCUGAAGCCAUGAAGAUGAGUCCUCCUCCAGAGUUGGCCCAAAGCUUCCUCUUCGACCACCUCAGCAUUUGCAGCGAACUGGAGGCCAAGCAGCUGCUUCUGGCCCAGGCCAUGAGUGAUGCUGACCGUCUCCUGGCUCACCUGGGGCUCAACGAGUGCCAGCGCCUGCAGCAGCUCAUCUCAGACACUCAGGCCGAGGUGGAGUCACUCAGCGUGAAGGUGGUUCAACGCAGGAAGCACCUCAGCAAGGCCUUCACUGAGAGGACCCAGUUCCUGCAGGCUGUCAACCAGUCCAUCACCUGGGUCCAGCAGAAUGAGAAGAAGGCCCAGGCUGAGGAGUACAUUGCACUGCUACCUGACGACCUGGCCAAGCAGGUUAAGGCCUGCAGGAACAUCCAGAGCAGCCUGAAGGCCUACCAGAGCGAGCUGACCUCCCUGUGGUCUCAGGGCAGAGACCUGAUGAAGGACGCCACGCAGGACGAGAAGGUGGAGAUGCUUACCAAGCUGCAGGAGCUGCAGAACAUCUUUGAAAAAGCCCUGCAGAAAUGUGUCCAGAGGCUCCAAGAACUGGACAAUGUGCUUGUCUCCAGGAAGUACUUCAAGGCAGACCUGGAAAAGACGUGUCAGUGGCUGAAACAAGCAGACAUUGUGACCUUCCCUGAGAUCAACCUCAUGAAUGGCGACUUGGAGCUGAACGUGCAGCUGUUGAAGUAUCGGCAGAUAGUAGAGCAGGCGAUGGAAUAUGAAAACCUCUUACUGAUCGUCCAGAGAACUGGUCAGGAGAUCCUGCCCACUCUGAAUGAAGUGGACCACUGUUACUUGGAUGAGAAACUCAAUGCCCUGCCACAGAAAUACAACAGCAUACUGGCUCUGGCCAAAGAGAAACAGGAGAAGAUCGAGCAGGCCAUCCUAGCCAGAAAGGAGUAUGCCUCCUUCAUAGACGUGACUCAUAAAGCAUUGAAAGAGCUUGAGGAGCAGUUCCAUAACUUAGGGUUGCAGCCUGUUGGUCUGCAGACAGAGGAGGUUGUGAAUUUACUGAGUGACUACAAAGCUCUUCAGGUAGAUCUGGGCAACCUUGGUCUGGCUGUCAGCGAACUGAACCAGAAGAAAGAAGGCUUCCGCAGCACCGGUCAACCCUGGAGACCUGAAGAGUUGACCCAGCUGGUGAGUCUUUACAAUGGGCUUAAGAGGCUCAUCGAACAGCGGGUGGAGCAUCUCGACGACACACUGGAGUCCUUCGAGGACCACAAGGCCAUGGCCAUGCAGGUGGACUCUGAGCUAAAGGCUACCAAAGAAGAGCUAGUCAAGGUCAACGCAGAGACCCAAUCGGCGGAGGAGAGGCUGAAGAAUUACCAUGCCCUGGCUGGGAGUCUUCAGAGCGCCAGCUCUCACCUGUCCAGACUCAUGGAGCAGAUGGAUAACUUGGCUCCUCAGCUGGACAAGGCUGCCCAUGACGCUUCCAGGGAACAGGUGGUCCUUUGGCAGGAGGAGCUGCAGUCCCUACAGUCUGCCGUGGGGGAGCUGAUAGUGGAGUGUGAGAAUAGGUUUGUCCAGAGUAAAGACUUUGAGACAGAGGUGAAGAGAACGCUGGACUGGCUGCAGCAUAUCAGGGAUGAGCUGGGCUGUGCUGUGGUAGUGGUGGACGUGAGGGUAGAAAAGGUCCAGGAAGAGAUCAGGAAACAGCAGAUAAUGCAGGAUGAGGUUCAGUCCAGGCUGAGGAUCGUGGAGGCCCUGAGCAGUAGGGAGAAACAGAAGUACACCAGCGCCAACGAACUGGUCCCAGCCCACGUUGACCUGAGCCUGGAGGAGAUGGCCAAGCUACAGGCUGAUGUACAGCAAGCAAUGAGUUCCAAACAGAUCACCCUGGAGCAGGCCUUGGCGUUGUGUCAGAAGUACCACUUCCGGAUGCAGUCUGCGUGUGAGUGGCUGGAGGACGCUGUGGCCUUCCUACAACUGGCCAGCCUGGGGGUGGACGUAGAGAACUAUGAGGAAUGUCUCCGCCAGCAGGAGGACAUCCUGGCCUCAGAGCAGAAGUUCCUAGACCACCUGCAGGAGUUGGAGGCUCUGCCCCCCCAGCUAGAGAACCUGGUGAACCCCACAGCCAAGGAACAGCUCAGACUGAAUGUGGAGUCUGCUCAGCAGAGAGGAGUGGAGGUCCGGGAUCAGCUGCAGAAUCACCAGGACGUCCUGAUCAGCUGUGUGGCCAAGUGGAAGUCUUACCAGGAGGCGAGGCAGAUGGUGAUUGAACUGAUGAACGAGGCAGAGCAGAAGCUUACUGAGUUUUCCACCGCAAAGGCUGCCACCUUUCUGGAGGCCGAGGAGAAACUCAGGAGUCACAGGUCCCUGGUGUUGAUGGUGAAUGGGUUCCAGGAGAAGCUGACAGGGCUGGAGGAGCAGGCAUCACAACUGGAGCUGGUGGGUAGUGAGGCCAGCAAGGCCACCAUCAGCCGCUCCAUGACCACGGUGUGGCAGCGCUGGACCCGGCUUCGCAGCGUGGCGCGAGGGCAGGAGAGGGUACUGGAGGACACGGCCCAGGAGUGGGGGACCUUCAGAGAGAAGAUGGUGAAGCUGAGGAGCAUGGUGGAGGAUCUACAGAGCCGUAUUAUAGACUGUGUUGUGGAGAAGGCCUCCAAGGCUACCCUACAGUCUGUGUUGGACCAGCAUGAGCUGUUAAUCCAGGAUGUAGAGAGAGAGCUGUCCUCCCUCACCCUGCUGCGUCAGUAUGCCCUCAGCCUGCUCCAUGAUGUGGAGGUCCCUUCACCAUCGCCCACCUCUGGACAGGACGAACUACCCAGUCUCAAGGAGAUCAGAGCAGUACAAGACCACCUGGAAAGUCUGCUGCAGCAGGCACAGACCAAGGGUACCCAGGCUGGGGUGGAGCUGAGGGACAGAGAGGGGGUAGAGAAGAACCUGAGUGUGGUCAAAGCCUGGAUCCAGGAGACCAGGGAGCUGCUCCCCAACCCCACCUCAGAUAUAGAUGCUCUGCUGCAGGAGCUGGAGGUGGUUCACGGUGAUGUGAUUGGCUACCGUCAGCAUGUGGAUAAGAUAGCAGAGCAGCAGCAGAGCAAGUAUCUGGACCUGUACACCAUACUGCCCUCAGAGAUCUCCAUGCAGCUGGCUGAGGUGUCCCUAGCACUGGGGGCCAUCCAGGACCAGGUUCUGUCCAAAGAGAAAGAGAUCCAGAAGACAAGAGACAUCAAGGAGGACAUCAGUUCCAGGAUCCAUGACGUGUCGGAGAAGAUGAAAGCCAUCUCCACCAGUCUCAAUGACAAAGCCAGCGAUGUCCAUCACGCUAAAGACGAGACCAAGUGUCUUUGUGAUGAUCUGGAGAGCUGUCAUCGGACUCUGUCAGAGCUGGAUGCUGCGGUCCAGGAGUUCGACAGAUGGAACCCCAUCUUGGCCAAACAGCUGAGUGAUGCCAUCGUCAAGUUAGGAGACAUCCACCACCACACUGCCAGACUGGCAGAGUGUAGAUCCAUCUGGCUCAAAAAGGCAGGGACCCAUCUAGAGGAGUACAAUGAGAUGCUGGACUUCAUAGUGAGGUGGUCGGAGAAAGCCAAGGGCCUGGUGAGGGCCAACAUCAUCUGGAACUCCUCCUCUCAUCUGCAGGAACAGAUAAGGAUGGACGAGUCCGUGCUGCGUGAAUCUCGAGAGCUCCAUGGGGACCUGCAGGCCAUGGGAGAGAAGGUGGAUCUGCUGUCUGAGGUGCUGCAGACGGAGAACAUGUCCCAGCAGGUGUGUGAGCUGAGCCGCCACACCGAGGAGCUCCAGCAGACCAUCAGGACACGGCUGCAGAGCCUUCAGGACGCAGCCAAGAGUAUGGAGCCUCUGGAGUAUGAGGUGAAGACCCUACAAGUGGCUCUGGAACAGGUCCAAGCUACACUGACCUCUCCUGAUCUUUCCCGACAGAGUCUCAAAGAACAACUGGCCCAGAGACAGCGUCUGCUGUCAGAGAUGGAGGGCUUCAAGCUGCAGGUGCAGGCGGUGCAGUUGUGUCAGAGCGCCCUGCGCGUCCCAGAGGAGGUGAUGCCUGACCUGGCUAUCUGUCACACGGCACUGGGCCUACAACAGGAGGCCAGCCAGCUACAGCAUGUCGUAAUACAGCAGUGCAACAUUCUACAGGAGGCUGUUGUGCAGUAUGAGCAGUAUGAGCAGGAGGCGAAGCACUUCCAGGGGCUGAUAGAGGAUGCCCACAGGGUCAUCCAGGACCGACCCAUUCCCACCAGCACUAUCCAGGAACUGCAGGCUCAGAUCCUACACCAUGAGGAGCUGGCCCAGAAAAUCAAGGGUUACCAGGAGGAGAUAGCCAGUCUGAAUUCGAAGUGUCAGAUGCUGACUGUGAAGGCCAAACAUGACACCAUGCUACUCACUGUGAGUGACACGGAGCGGGUGGGGCUUACCGUGGAGGACCUGGAUGGAGACAUAGACAAACCAUCUGUUGUUAUGAUGACGGCUGGCCGCUGUCACACCCUUCUGUCCCCGGUCACCGAGGAGUCUGGGGAGGAGGGUACCAGCAGUGAGAUCUCCUCUCCUGUCUGUCGCUCCCCUUCUCCCAGCACUCACACACAGAUGGGACGAGACACCCUCCCCAGAGCUCCCGUACAGGAGCUAAAUGACCCGAUGUUUGAAUCUGAGGCUAACCUAGAUGACCUUCAACGCUCCUGGGAGACCCUGGAGAAUGUGAUCAGUGAGAAGCAGAGGUCUCUGUAUGAGGCGCUGGAGAAGAAGCAGUGCAACCAGGGUUCUCUUCAGUCUAUCUCCUCUAAGAUGGAGGCCAUCGAGAGCAAACUCAACAAGCCACUGGAGGCUGACAGGAGCACAGAUAGUCAUAUGGAAGCCCAUCAGGCCGUGGUGGAGGAGGUUCAGAGGCUGCAAGAGGAGAUAGACAAGCUGCAGACCAGCUUCUCAGACGAGCUUGGUUCUGAUGCUGUGGACGACACGGCCCACCAGCUGGCCAUGCAGUCUACCCUCACUGUCCUGUCUGAGAGGAUGGCCACCAUACAGAUGAAGGCCUCAGGAGAACGACAGCUACUGGAGGAGCGUGUCAGUGACCGUCUAGAGGAGCAGCAUCAGGAGCGUGUCAGUGACCGUCUAGAGGAGCAGCAUCAGGAGCGUGUCAGUGACCGUCUAGAGGAGCAGCAUCAGGAGCGUGUCAGUGACCGUCUAGAGGAGCAGCAUCAGGAGCGUGUCAGUGACCGUCUAGAGGAGCAGCAUCAGGAGCGUGUCAGUGACCGUCUAGAGGAGGAGCAUCAGGAGCGUGUCAGUGACCGUCUAGAGGAGCAGACCUUACGACAUUACCUCAACCAAGCCGACCAGAUGGACCAAUGGCUGCACAGCACCCGCGAAGCCCUCCGUCCCAGUGCUGAGGAGGAGCAACUCAUAGAUGGCCAGAACAUGCUGCAGGAGAUAGAGCAGAAGGUGGUGGCCCUGUCGGAGCUGACCAUGCGCAGCGAGAGCCUGCUACUGGAGGGAAGGCAGGAGACGCGGAUGGACAUGAGGGAGGACACAGAGCAGCUGGCCAGGAAGCUGCGGACGCUGAAGGGAAGUCUGCUGGAGCUGCAGAGGAUGCUGCAGGACAAACACAACAACAUCCAGGACCAGGAGGAGAGUGAGUCUGACUCGACUCUGUCUCAGGGGCCCAUCGUGCAGGACUGCUUGGUCCAGGCCCACACCACACUCUCACAACACCACCAGGACAGCCUCCAGAGACAGAGGGAGCUGGAGGAGCAGCUAGCUGAACAGAAGAAGCUGUUACAGUCUGUAGCCAGUAGAGGAGAGGAGAUCCUGAUAAAGCAGGCCUCACCUAGCAGUGUCAGUAUGACGGAGCCCUGCUCUCCAGAGAUACUGCUGGAGCGAGAGACCCGGGCUGCCCAGUACCAGAUGAGACAGAGGUGGGACAGCCUGAGGAAAGAACUGAGCACCAAGCUCCAGCUCCUACAGAAAACCCUGGAACAAGACCACAAGCAACAGGUUUCCUCCAGAACUGCCGCUGGGACCCUGUUUAAAGCAGAGAUCUGUAAAACAGAGGACACAUCUUCACUGAAGAUGUUAUAUGAGGGUUUCAGCCAAACGAUGGAGGAGAUGUCUUGUCAAACUGGGGCCUCUGAGGGUAAGGUGAUCCCCAUGGAGCAGCAUCUCUACCAGGCUGUGUCAGCGACCUCCUCCUGGCUGGAUGAUGUAGAGAAUACCCUGUUCUCUGGUCCUACGCUGCUGACGGAGAACGCUGAGACACAGCUACAAAACCAGGAGGCCUUAGGGAGGGAUGUCAGUGAGGUGACUGGGGUGGUGAGCCACAGUCGGGGUCUCCUAGGCCAACCUACAGGGCUGUGUGCGGAGGACCAGGUCCUGUUAGAGGACACACUGGACUGUCUGACAGAGAGGCUGCAAACUCUGGACUCUGCCCUGGAGCGACGCUGUGAACACAUGAGGACUAGGAUGCAGGAACUCACUGCCUACCAGACGGAGUCACAACUUGUCCUUGCUGAUUUAACCGACACCAAGUGCCAGAUCCUUCAGACGUUGGCGGGAGCCACGGACAGACCAGGAUCCACACAGCUUGAGGUCAUAGCUGAGGCUGAGGAGGGUUUGAGAGAGUUUGAGCAGAGGAUCACCCAGCUGAAAACAAGGGGAACAGAACUACAGGCAGAACAGAUGUCCACCAAUGAGAUGCUCAAGCUACAGGAUGCCUAUGAGGAGUUGGUGAUGACGGUGGGCUCGCGGCGUAGCAGCCUGAACCAUAACAUGGCUCUGAAGGGGCAAUAUGAGAGGGCUCUGCAGGACCUGGCUGACCUGGUGGACACUGCUCAAGACAAGAUGGCCGGCGACCAGAGGGUCAUCGCCAGCUCUGUGGAGGAAGUUCAGAUUCUCCUUGACAAACACAAGGAGUUCUUCCAGAGUCUGGAGUCCCACAUGAUCCUGACGGAGUCGUUCUUCAGGAAGAUCAGUGGCCUGGUGGUUCCCAGAGAGAAGCAGGCUCUGGAGGAGAUACUGACCCUGGCCCAGGGAGUCCUCAAACAGGCCCACAGGAGAGGGGUGGCGCUGGAGUACAUACUGGAGACUUGGAGCCAUCUGGUGCCGGAUUUCCAGGCUCUGUGUAUGCAGUUGGAGGCAGUGGAGGGUAGCAUCCCCACAGUGGGCCUGGUGGAGGAGACAGAGGAGAGCCUCACUGAGAGGAGUUUACUCUAUCAGAGUCUGAAGGGCAGACUGAUGGAGCACCAGCACAAGCUGAGCCAGGUGCUGGAGGAGGGGAAGAGGCUGCAGCUAUCUGUGUGCUGUCCUGGCCUGGACACAAAGCUCACAGUGCUAGGGGAACACUGGCUCAGCAACACUACCAAGGUCAACAAGGAGCUGCAGAGACUAGAGGCCAUCCUCAAACAUUGGACCAGGUAUCAGAAGGAGUCAUCAGAGUUGAUUGGCUGGCUGCAGUCUGCUCUAGAACGUCUGGACUUCUGGAACAAUCAGGCAGUCGUAGUUCCACAGGAGAUGGAGACCCGCAGGGACCAUCUCUCUACCUUCCUGGACUUCUGUAAAGAGGUGGAGUCGCGUUCAUCUCUGAAGAAUUCUGUGCUGACUGAGGGCAACCAGCUUCUGAGGCUGAAGAGGGUUGGAACUGCAGCCCUGCGGUCUGACCUGGCCCGCAUAGACUCAGAGUGGACCCAACUACUCACACUCAUCCCAGGGGUGCAGGAGAAGCUACACCAGUUACAAAUGGAGAAGUUGGCCUCUAGGCAUGCCAUCUCUGAGCUGGUCAACUGGAUAUCUCUGAUGGAGAAUGUGAUUGGAGAGGACGAAGAGAACCUGAAAGGAGCAGUGGGGUCGACUGUCAUCCAGGACUAUCUACAGAAAUACAAGGGCUUCAGAGUUGAUGUGCACUGUAAGCAGCUGACGGUGUAUUUUGUGAACCAGUCUGUGCUCCAGAUCAGUGAUCAGGAUGUGGAGAGCAGGCGCAGCGACCAGACAGACUUUGCCGAGAAGCUGGGAGUAAUGAACCGACGCUGGCAGUUACUACAGGGACUCAUCACGGAGAGGGUCCAGUUCCUGGAGACUCUGCUGGAGGCCUGGUUGAACUAUGAGAACAACAUACAGGGCCUGAAGACCUGGCUGCUCACUCAGGAGGGGAGGCUGAAGAGGAAACCCAGGAUAGAGGACCUAACCUCCGUACAGAACGCUCUCAAUGACUGCCAGGAGAUGGAGGAAAAGGUGAAGGAGAAGGAGGGUGAGGUGGAGCGGGUGGAGGAGCAGGCCUGUGCCCUCAUCCAGAACAAAACCGACGAGGCCUGCGCUGUCGUCAUGGAGACGCUCCAAGCUGUCAAUCACACCUGGGCUAACCUGGACCACCUGAUCGGCCAGCUGAAGAUCAGCCUCGUGUCAGUGCUGGACCAGUGGAGUCUGUACAAGUUGUCCUCAGAGGAGAUGAAUGGCUACCUGAUGGAGGGGAGGUACUCUGUGUCCCGUUUCCGCCUCCUCACCGGCUCCCUGGAGGCUGUACAGCUACAGGUGGAGAGUCUCCAGAGCCUACAGGAGGAACUGGAGAAGCAGGAGGGCAGUCUGAGGAAGUUUGGCUCUGUGACACACCAGCUGCUGAAUGAGUGCCACCCGUCUGUGUCCGACUCCCUCAACAAUACCCUGAAGGACGUCAACGCUAGGUGGAGCAGUCUCCUGGAAGAGAUCUCAGAGCGUCUGAAGAGAAGCAAAGCCCUGCUACAGCUGUGGCAGCACUACAAGGAGCUGUAUGGAAAGAGUAGCUCCAGUGUCCAGCUACAAGAGGUGCAGGCUGACCGACUCCUGGAGACCGCCUGCACCAAGGACAUCACAGACGAGGAGGUCUCCACCUGGAUCCAAGACUGCAGCGAGUUGCUUCGUGCCCAGGCUCCAGUGAAGGCAUCUCUACAGGUUAUUCAGGAGCUAGGAGAUCAGCUGAAGCAACAGGUGGACACCUCCACAGCAUCCGCCGUCCAGUCAGACCACCUCUCUCUGACCCAGCGCCUGGCCACUGUGGAGCAAGCCCUCAGCAGACAGCUCACUACACUACAGACGGGAGUCCAGGACUAUGAGACCUUCAGUGAGCAGCUGGGUUCCUUAGGUCGCUGGAUGGUGGAGGGAGAAGAGGCUCUGAAGAUCCAGGAUCCCAACAGUUCUUCUGACCUGUCCAUCAUACAGGACCGAAUGGAGGAACUCAAGAGACAGAUCUUGAGAUUCAGUAGCAUGGCUCAUGACCUGGAGCGUCUCAACGAGCUGGGCUACAGGCUUCCUCUCAACGACAUUGAGAUCAAACGCAUGCAGAACCUUAACCGUAGCUGGUCUGCAGCCAACGCCCAAACCACUGAGAGGUUCAGCAAACUGCAGUCAUUCCUGCUGCAGCAGCAGACGUUCCUGGAGAAGUGUGAGACGUGGAUGGAGUUCCUGGUACAGACAGAGAAGAAGCUGGCCGUGGAGAUCUCUGGGAACUACCAGAGUCUGAUGGAGCAGCAGAGAGCGCACAAACUAUUUCAGGCUGAGAUGUUCAGCCGUCAGCAGAUCCUCCACUCUAUAAUCAGUGAUGGCCAGAGGAUGCUGGCGCAGGGACAGGUGGAUGACAGGGAUGAAUUCAACCGGAAGUUGUUGCUGUUGAGUAACCAGUGGCAGGGCGUUGUGCGUCGCGCCCAGCAAAGGCAGGGUAUCAUCGACAGCCUGAUCCGCCAGUGGCAACGUUACAGGGAUAUGUCAGAGAAGCUGAGGAAAUGGCUAGUGGAGAUCUCACACCCCGCCGAGGCCCUACUGGCUGGGGCGCCCAUACCCCUGCAGCAGGCCAGAUCCAUGCUGGAUGCAGUUCAGCUGAAAGAAAAGGUCCUACAGCGACAGCAGGGCUCUUACAUCCUGACAGUAGAAGCUGGGAAACAGCUGCUCCUAUCUGCAGACAGCAGGGCAGAGGUGUCUCUGCAGGGAGAGCUCACAGACAUCCAGGAACGCUGGAGACACGCCACCAUCUGCCUGGAGGAACAGAGGCGUGAGCUGGACAAGCUGGACAAGGACUGGGAGACAUGUGAGAGAGGCAUCGAGGGUUCUCUGGAGAAGCUGAGGAAGUUGAAACGGCAGUUCUCUCAGUCCCUCCCUGAUCACCACGAGGACUUGCAAGCGGAACAGAUGCGAUGCAAGGACUUGGAGAAGACGUUUGACGGCUGGACAGAAGACCUAGCCCACCUGACGGUGCUGAGGGAGUCCCUGUCUAGCUACAUCAGUGCUGAGGACCUGUCUGUUCUACAGGAACGCAUGGAGCUUCUGCACCGCCAGUGGGAGGAGAUCUGUCACCAGCUAUCCCUGCGGCAGCAGCAGGUGGGUGAGAAGCUGAGUGAGUGGGCUGUGUUUAAGGAGAAGAACAGGGAGCUCUGUGAUUGGCUUACCCAAAUGGAGAGCAAGGUCUCUCAGAAUGGAGACGUCAGAAUCGAGGAGAUGAUCGAGAAGCUACGCAAGGACUACUAUGAGGAGAUAGCGGUGGCUCAGGAGAACAAGCAGCAGCUGUACCAGCUGGGGGAGAGACUGGCCAAGGCCAGCCAUGAGAACAAGGCAUCUGAGAUAGAACACAAACUCAGCAUGGUGGGCGAGCGCUGGCAACACCUGCUGGACCUCAUUGGAGCCAGGUUGAAGAAGCUGAGGGAGACUCUGGUGGCAGUGCAGCAGCUGGAUAAGAACAUGAUUAGUCUGCGGUCCUGGCUGACCCACAUAGAGACUGAGCUGUCCAGACCCAUCCUAUACGACACCUGUGACUCCCAGGAGAUACAGCGGAAGCUGGACCUGCAGCAGGAGCUUCAGCGUGACAUAGAGAAGCACAGCACAAGUGUGGCUUCUGCGUUGAACCUGUGUGAGGUGUUGUUACACGACUGUGACGUCUGUGCCACGGACACAGAGUGUGAUUCCAUCCAGCAGACCACCAGGAACCUCGACCGCCGCUGGAGGAGAAUAUGUGCCCUGUCCAUGGAGAGGAGGCUCAAGAUUGAAGAGACAUGGCGUUUAUGGCAGAAGAUCAUAGAAGACUUUAUGCGUUUUGAGGAGUGGCUAGUGACCUCAGAGAAGACCGCUGCUCUACCCAACUCUUCAGGAGUACUGUACACAGUGGCCAAGGAAGAACUCAAGAAGUUUGAGGCAUUUCAGUGUCAGUCCCAUGAGAGCCUGACCCAGCUGGAGACGAUCAAUAAACAGUACCGCCGCCUGGCCAGGGAGAACCGCACAGACUCCUCCUGUCGCCUCGGGGAAAUGUCCCACGACGGGAACCAGCGCUGGGAUAACCUGCAGAAGAGGGUGGCCUCCAUCCUCCGCAGGCUCAAGCACUUCGUCAGUCAGCGUGAGGAGUUUGAGAAGGCCAGAGACAGCGUCGUGGUGUGGCUCACCGAGAUGGACCUGCAGCUCACCAACAUAGAACACUUCUCAGAGUGUGACAUCCGAGCCAAGAUCAAACAGCUACGGGCGUUCCAGCAGGAGAUUUCUGUGACCACGGGGAAGGUCGAGCACAUCUUCCACCAGGGAGAGGUGCUGCUGCAGAAGAGUGAGCCUCUGGACGCUGUUGUUAUAGAGAAGGAGCUGGAGGAGCUGCGGAGAUACUACCAGGAGGUGUUUGGACGCGUGGAGCGUUACUAUAAGAAGCUGAUCCAACUACCGCUGACAGGAGAAGAGUACGAUGUGUCAUUCUCGGACAAGGAGAUUGAACUGGAUGAACCUGGGGACCUGUCCAGCAUUCUCUGGAGUGAACGUCUUGGAGACUGCCUGAGCUCCCCUCUGCCCUCCCUGACUGCCCCCCUCUGUACUGGGGCUGAGCGCUCGGGCAUGGGAACCCCAGCCAGCAUGGACUCCAUCCCCCUGGAGUGGGACCAUGACUACGACCUGAGAAAGAGGCUGGAGAGUGCCAGCGGGGCUCUCGGCCUGGCCUCUGAGCACGAGGAGCACGGAGAGGAGGGGAGCUACCAGGGAUCAGCUUCUGCUUCCGCUCUGUCAGGAGAGGGAGGUACCCUGGACAGCCACAUCCUUCAGUUGGACAAGGUUCUGGACCCCAGUCAGUUACACCUGCAACAGACAGAGAAUGUCAUCCGUAGCAGAACCCCCACCGGGCCAGAGCUGGAUGCAUCAUACAUGGGAUAUAUGCGUCUACUGGGAGAGUGUCGUAGCAGUAUAGACACGGUGAAGAGGGUUGGCUACGAACUGAAGGGGGAGGGGGAAAAGGCCUCAGGACUUGCUGACCCCAUUGAUGAUGAUUCACAAACAACAGGUGUGAUACAGCGCUGGGAGUUGCUGCAGGCCCAGGCCCUCAGUAAAGAGAUGCGUCUGAAGCAGAACCUUCAGCAGUGGCAGCAGUUCAACUCUGACCUCAACGCUGUGUGGGCGUGGCUGGAGCAGGCAGGGGAGGAGCUAGAGCAGCAACGGAGGCUGGACCUCAGCACCGACAUCCAGACCAUCGAGCUGCGCAUCAAAAAACUGAAGGAGCUGCAGAAGGCUGUUGACAAGCGUAAGGCCACAGUGCUGUCCAUCAACCUGUGCAGUGCAGAGUUUGUCCAGUCCGCCACAGAAGAGUCCCAGGACCUGAAGGCCAGGCUGAAAGAGAUGAACAACCGCUGGGACAGAUUGGGCACCUCUCUGGGAGAGUGGAGGGCAGCGCUACAAAAGGCCCUUAUGCAGUGUCACGACUUCCAUGAGAUGAGUCACGGCCUGCUACUGUGGCUGGAGAACAUUGACCGCAGGAGGAAUGAGAUUGUUCCCAUUGACCCCAUCCAGGACAGCAACACCCUCCAUGAGCACCACAAAACACUCCUGAAAAUCCGCUGUGAGCUGCUAGACACCCAGAGGAAGGUGUUGUCCCUGCAGGACAUGUCCCUGCAGCUGCUAGUCAACAGCGAGGGCAGUGACUGUCUGGAGGCCAAGGAGAAGGUUCACGUCAUCGGGAACCGCCUCAAACUGCUCUUCAAGGAGGUGACCAGAGACCUCAAAGAGCUGGAGAAGAUUCUGGACACGAACAGCAGCCAACAGGAUCUGUCUAUGUGGUCGUCAGCUGAUGAGCUAGACUCCACCUCUGGUUCCAUAAGCCCGGUGUCGGGCAGGAGCACGCCAAGUCGCCGUCGAUCGGUAACGUAUUGUAAUACCUCUGACAAUGGUUACAUGGUGCCCUACCAGAAGGAAGGUGUUUGGCACUUCCUCCCUAAGACUGACAGUGCGUCACUUGUGCCCCUGAAUGCAACACCGAGUUUGCUCCAGUUUAAGGCCAUGCAAAGUCACUCCCUCCCACCCUCCCAGGACUUCUCUUUCUCACCUCUUCUCUGUACACCUUCCUACAUGUAUAUACAUUCCACACACAACUCUUUUUCCACACCUUUAUUCUUUCAUGUUAUAUCAUUUCCCAGAGACAAACCGACCAGAGCACUUGAGACAUCAGUAUACCCCCUCUUAAAAAAUAUAUAUAUAUAUUAUCUUAUUUUAUUGAUUGACUUUCCCCCUAAACUUCAACAUCUACUUCUGGUUUCUCCUGAUCAAAUGUGUCCCAUCUUUUUAUUAUUUUCUUUAGUCCUGUGGUUUUAGAGUCCUGUGGUUUUAGAGUCCUGUGGUUUUAGAGUGCUGUGGUUUUAGAGUCCUGUAAUUUUAGAGUCCUGUGGUUUUAGAGUCCUGUAGUUUUAGAGUGCUGUGGUUUUAGAGUGCUGUGGUUUUAGAGUCCUGUAAUUUUAGAGUCCUGUGGUUUUAGAGUCCUGUAGUUUUAGAGUGCUGUGGUUUUAGAGUGCUGUGGUUUUAGAGUCCUGUAACUUUAGAGUCCUGUGGUUUUAGAGUCCUGUAUUUUUAGAGUGCUGUGGUUUUAGAGUGCUGUGGUUUUAGAGUCCUGUAACUUUAGAGUCCUGUGGUUUUAGAGUCCUGUAGUUUUAGAGUGCUGUAGUUUAGUGCUCAUGGAAUAUUGGCUCUUUAAUACUGCUGAAAACCCUUGGUUUUUAUCAAUUAAAUUCUAUAGAAGUUAUGUCUUGUCUUCACUUCAAUCCCAAUGGUUGAUCUCAGUGAUUUGAAGAUACAGUACAUGUAUAUCUUAAAUUUGUUACAUCUGUCUUCCACAUAGCAAAUCAUGCAUCAUAUCAUACGUUGUGCUUCAGCAGCGAAUGAAUUCCCUUUGUUCCAAAUAACAGCAUGACCAUCCAGCUGUAGCUGUUCAAAGUAGCUGUACACUUUGAAAAAAGCUAGUUCAUUUAUUUUCUCUAGUUGUCACCUUCCUUCACAUAUUUGAUUUGUUCUAAGAUCACCUUCUAUUCUUUUAUUUGGGGUAUUUUCUUUUCAUCGGUAGCUUUGUUCUUUAUUUGCCUGGACUGAAACAUACUCUCUUUCUUUUACCCCCGUGUUCAUUGCAAACAGCAACGGGGCAAAUGUAGUAUGUCACAGCAGACCUCUGGACCCUCUGUGAGCAGUCCACACAGAUCACACAGGUAUCCCGUCGCUGGGUCCGCUUCCUCCCCUUCUGAGGCAGAGGGGAAAUCGUCAUCGUCACGUUUCCUGUACCGCGUCCUACGGGUGGCGGUGCCCCUCCAGUUGCUGUUCCUCUUGCUGCUGGUGGUCAUGGUCUGCCUGGUGCCAGUGUGUGAGGGGGAUUUCGACUGCAGCCAGUCCAAUAACUUUGCCCGUUCCUUCCACCCGAUGCUACAAUACACCAACGGGCCUCCUCCUGUAUAGUCUUUCAUGACAGACCAAACAUUUGGUUCUGGGUGCCGAGCGAGAUUACAGCCUGGCACUUGGUAUGGAGACGAACCUGAGGAGGAUAGUUGGGCUUUUUGAACUUCAUGACUGUUGUGGAUUUCAACUCUAUGGGUCUCUCUCUUGACGUUUUUCCCCCAAUAACAGUGCGGGAACUGUUUCAAUGCUCCGCUAGUUUGCAGCUUCCAUGAAGAAUAGAGAUAUGGCGAUCCGUCAUUCUGCACCUUGUGUUGCCGUGCAUAAGCAAGCAUCAUAGGAUGCCAAAACCUUAGUUAUAUCUUCUUUGUUCUGUAUGGAUGAAGUACAGCUGGACUCUUAACUUGUCUUUUCACUUGUGUCUUCUUUUAGUUUUAUGUUAUGUUGUAUGUAUAGACGAAGAAACGUCUUAGGGGCAGCAAAUGUAAGAACCAAAAAUGUUUGUGACGGCAGUCAGUGGAUAUCCCCUGGAUACCUGUUAAGGUACAACACAUGCUAUGUGUUGCCAUUUGUCCUCUAGUUCAAUGCAGAGCAUAUACUCUGUGAAUGUGCCUGUUGUAACAAUUGAACACUUGUGAAAUAACAUUUUAAGAUGACUUAUAUUGCAAUAUUAUUAUUUUUUACAUGUGUUUUGGCAUGCGGUUAUCAUCUUUGCUUAUGGGUGUGUCCGUGAUGAAUAUUUGAUUUUUAAUCUGAAUUAUACCUGGGCGUAAGAAUCUAUUUAGUCUGAAUUGUGUAUUGAAUGUGUAUGUAAAAGAAAGGCCGUAAUGAAGAGUUAUUUGCUAUAAACUGUUUAAAAGCAUAAGAAACAUUGAAAAUAAUGUACAGGACCACUCAUUUUUAUUUUUCUAGCUGAAAAUAUGGAUUCUACAAACAAACUAUUAAUCAACAGUAUAACGAAUUAUAAAACUGUAUAUUUUCUAUGGGUCUGUGUGUUUAGUAUUAAAUGUACAACAGUCCAGGAUUACUUAACAUAUUCUGUACAUAAUAUAAAUGUAUAUCAAUAAUCUAUAUCUGACCCUAAAUUACAAAUAUUGAAUGCCAAAUUCUCA